rnacentral:rRNA from 1 species
AUUGAACGCUGGCGGCAGGCCUAAUACAUGCAAGUCGAGCGAGAGGCGGACGGGUGUGUAAUGUAUGUGGAUCUGCCCGAUAGAUGGGGAUAACUACUGGAAACGGUGGCUAAUACCGCGUACUAUAGGAUGAAACCUGGUGGGAUUAGGUAGUGGCUGGGGUAAAGGCUCACCAAGGCGACGAUCUCUAGCUGCUCUGAGAGGAUGAUCAGCCAAACUGGGACUGAGAAACGGCCCAGACGCCUACGGGAGGCAGCAGUGGGGAAUAUUGCGCAAUGGGCGCAAGCCUGAUGCAGCCAUGCCGCGUGAAUGAAGAAGGUCUUAGGGUUGUAAAGGACUUUUAGUAGGGAGGCGGUACCUAAAGAGGAAGCACCGGCUAACUCCGUGCCAGCCGCCGCGGUAAUAC